rnacentral:rRNA from 1 species
CGUAAAGCGCCUGCAGGCGCUCAGGUAAAUCGCUUGUGAAAGCACCGUGCUCAACGCGGUGGAGCCCAAGCGAUACUGCGUGACUUGAGGCCGGAAGAGGGGAGUGGUAUUCCCGGUCUAGCGGUAAAAUGCGCAGAUAUCGGGAGGCACACCAGUGGCGAAGGCGGCUCCCUGGACCGCACGUGACGCUCAGACGGCGAAAGCUAGGGGAACGAACAGGAUUAGAGACCCUGGUAGUCCUAGCCCUAAACGCUGGAUGCUACGGUGUAGCGACUGAUGAGGCUUUGUGCCGGAGCGAACACGAUAAGCAUCCCGCCUGGGAACUACGGCCGCAAGGCUAUAACUCAAACGAAUUGACGGGGACCCGCACAAGCAGCGGAGCGUGUGGUUUAAUUAGAUGCUACACAGUAGUACCUUACAUGGGUUUGACAUGCUGGUGGUAACGAAACGAAAGGUGAGGGACCAUUCGGGGAGCCAACACAGGUCAUGCAUGUCUGUCGUCAGCACGUCCCGUGAGGUAGUCGGAUUAAAUUCAGUAACGAGCGCAACCCUUGCUCUUAGUUAUACGUGUCUAAGGGGAUCAGCCGUGCGACAAGCCCGGAGGAUAGGUGUGGAUGACGUCAUAGUCAGCAUGACCUUGAUAUCUCAAGGGCUUACACACACGCUUCUAUGUCCGGUACAAAGGGCACGCCAAACCUGCCGACGUCGCGAGCGAAUCCCAGCAAAGCCGGUCCCAGUUCGGAUUGCAGGCUGCAACCCGCAUAGCACUGAAGUUGGAGUUGAUAGUACUCGCGCGUCAGCCAUAGUCGCGGUGUUACGUACCCAGGGUCUUGUACACAC